GAUGAACGCUGGCGGCGUGCCUAAUACAUGCAAGUCGAGCGAACGGACGAGAAGCUUGCUUCUCUGAUGUUAGCGGCGGACGGGUGAGUAACACGUGGAUAACCUACCUAUAAGACUGGGAUAACUUCGGGAAACCGGAGCUAAUACCGGAUAAUAUUUUGAACCGCAUGGUUCAAAAGUGAAAGACGGUCUUGCUGUCACUUAUAGAUGGAUCCGCGCUGCAUUAGCUAGUUGGUAAGGUAACGGCUUACCAAGGCAACGAUGCAUAGCCGACCUGAGAGGGUGAUCGGCCACACUGGAACUGAGACACGGUCCAGACUCCUACGGGAGGCAGCAGUAGGGAAUCUUCCGCAAAGGGCGAAAGCCUGACGGAGCAACGCCGCGUGAGUGAUGAAGGUCUUCGGAUCGUAAAACUCUGUUAUGAGGGAAGAACAUAUGUGUAAGUAACUGUGCACAUCUUGACGGUACCUAAUCAGAAAGCCACGGCUAACUACGUG
rnacentral:rRNA from 1 species